GUCCGGGUGAACCUCGGUGGACCGGGGAGUAGGCUUCAAACCUGCGGCCGCUUUGCAGCGGAGUGGUUCGAUUCCACCUCCUGGGC
rnacentral:tRNA from 1 species